rnacentral:rRNA from 1 species
GCAGUCUGCAACUCGACUGCACGAAGCUGGAAUCGCUAGUAAUCGCGGAUCAGCACGCCGCGGUGAAUACGUUCCCGGGCCUUGUACACACCGCCCGUCACACCAUGGAAGUCUGCAAUGCCCGAAGCCGGUGGCCUAACCACUUAUGUGGAAGGAGCCGUCUAAGGCAGGGCAGAUGACUGGGGUGAAGUCGUAACAAGGUAUC